UCCUACUAGGACGUUAACGUGGCAAUAGCUCUCAUCAUUGAGACAGGGUGACGGGAGGAAGAAUGGACAGCUGAGCGGUGACGAGGAGCGAAAUUGAGGGUGGUACAGAAUCUGAUUCCACUGGCAUGUGCUUCCAAACCAUAGCUCUGCACAAGGUGAAGGUGGUCUGGAGACCUUCCACAGUGCCCUGCUGAAAAAUACCCCAUAACGUUGGGAACAUCGAAACAUCGUCAUCUAUUUGUUCGAAACAUCGUCUUCUCCUGGCAGCAUUUACCCUCCAGCUUCACAAGCUUGAAAACCACAUCCAGAAUUUAUUUUUAUUUUUUUAAAGUUCGUUUUGGAGUCAGAGUUUCAGUAUAGUUUGUUUUUCAAAACGGGUGUGUU